rnacentral:lncRNA from 1 species
CUAAGUUUCAAAAUCUCACAUGGAGAUGCCCCCAGGGUGAGUGGUACAUUCAGCACCACAUAGCUUUGAAAACACUUCGUACUGAGAAUUCCAGUGGGAACCAUCCAUCAACAUCUUGCAUGCUAACACAAAACACCUCUACGCAUCUUGAGGUGCCAGCAAAAAGUCUUAAACGCGACCCACUGGAGAAUCUAUGGACGUUUCACAAGAAAAGAACAAGCAAAGGAAACCAGAAGCAAGGGGAUUU